UUCGGGUAGCGCAGAAUGACGCGCAUGCUCUAUUUGCGGUGGCUUGAGACAGUAAACUAGAAAGUGAUGGUAGUAAGCAUAACAAAUUCGUUAUAUUUAGAGGAAGAAAUGUAUGUAAUAUCCAUCACAGAAUAAUCGAGCUGGUUUAGCAACUAAAAGCUUAAGAUUAUUCUCUUAAAGAUAUAUAUUUAAGCUAAGCUUUCAAUCUAUGUCUGUACAAAACUUAAUUUUGAAAGUUUAACUUUGUAACUGAAUUUUUUGGGCGUUUGACUCAUUAAUGUGGCUGUGAGAGGGAAUUCAGUAGAUUUAAAAACAAAUUCUAUCAAGUUUUAAAGUAACACAAAAUAGCUAUUUGCGGAAAAAACUCGUCAGAAACUGGCUAAAGUGUAAACUAUUUUACCACAGGUUAGGUGUAUGUUUUCAAAAAUACCCUUUAUUUCAGUAAUAUUCAAUAACUUUAUUUUUUUGAAUAUAGUCAAAAUUUGAAAGUAUUAUAUAAUGGCUUCAAAAAUUAGUUUUAGAGUUUUGAAUAUUUUUUAGAGCGUUAUAAUAGCUUUUAUUAACCCAAAGGGAUAUAAUUUCUCGAUCUUGAUGAAAGCAGAAAACAAUGUUUUAUAUACUUAUAAAAUCCUAUAUAGUAAUAUAUUUACUGUUAACUCAUUGUUGGUUAAAUUGUUACAAAGUCGGGCGAAUGAAAACUUUUUCAUUUUUUGAAUGACAGUUAGUUACCAAAUGUCUACAGCAGGCAUUAAGCAUAUGAAUAACGGUUCAUAUAAAAGCUGUCAUUGGUGUAACACCAUACCAAGCUUAGGUAUAAUUGUAAAUUUAAAAUACUUCAACUAUUAUUUCAUGGUUUGACAAAAUAAUUUUUGUUUUAUCGUAAUUAAAAAUAAAGGAAUGGUAUGUCCGUCGGGCAUUUUAAAUUA